rnacentral:rRNA from 1 species
GUAGUCUGCAACUCGACUACAUGAAGCUGGAAUCGCUAGUAAUCGCGGAUCAGAAUGCCGCGGUGAAUACGUUCCCGGGUCUUGUACACACCGCCCGUCACACCAUGGGAGUCAGUAACGCCCGAAGCCGGUGACCCAACCUAUUCUGGGAGGGAGCCGUCGAAGGCGGGACGGAUGACUGGGGUGAAGUCGUAACAAGGUAUC